UACGGGGGAUGCAAGCGUUAUCCGGAAUUAUUGGGCGUAAAGCGUCCGCAGGUGGUUGUGCAAGUCUGCUGUUAAAUCGUGGGGCUUAACUCCAUAACGGCGGUGGAAACUGCACAACUUGAGUGUGGUAGGGGUCACGGGAAUUCCCAGUGUAGCGGUGAAAUGCGUAGAUAUUGGGAAGAACAUCGGUGGCGAAAGCGCUCUACUGGACCUCAUCUGACACUCAGGGACGAAAGCUAGGGGAGCGAAUGGG
rnacentral:rRNA from 1 species